rnacentral:rRNA from 1 species
ACAACGAAGAGUUUGAUCCUGGCUCAGGAUGAACGCUAGCGACAGGCUUAACACAUGCAAGUCGAGGGGCAGCACAGGUAGCAAUACCGGGUGGCGACCGGCGCACGGGUGAGUAACGCGUAUGCAACUUGCCUAUCAGAGGGGGAUAACCCGGCGAAAGUCGGACUAAUACCGCAUGAAGCAGGGGCCCCGCAUGGGGAUAUUUGCUAAAGAUUCAUCGCUGAUAGAUAGGCAUGCGUUCCAUUAGGCAGUUGGCGGGGUAACGGCCCACCAAACCGACGAUGGAUAGGGGUUCUGAGAGGAAGGUCCCCCACAUUGGUACUGAGACACGGACCAAACUCCUACGGGAGGCAGCAGUGAGGAAUAUUGGUCAAUGGGCGUAAGCCUGAACCAGCCAAGUCGCGUGAGGGAUGAAGGUUCUAUGGAUCGUAAACCUCUUUUAUAAGGGAAUAAAGUGUGGGACGUGUCCCGUUUUGUAUGUACCUUAUGAAUAAGGAUCGGCUAACUCCGUGCCAGCAGCCGCGGUAAUACGGAGGAUCCGAGCGUUAUCCGGAUUUAUUGGGUUUAAAGGGUGCGUAGGCGGCCUUUUAAGUCAGCGGUGAAAGUCUGUGGCUCAACCAUAGAAUUGCCGUUGAAACUGGGGGGCUUGAGUAUGUUUGAGGCAGGCGGAAUGCGUGGUGUAGCGGUGAAAUGCAUAGAUAUCACGCAGAACCCCGAUUGCGAAGGCAGCCUGCCAAGCCAUUACUGACGCUGAUGCACGAAAGCGUGGGGAUCAAACAGGAUUAGAUACCCUGGUAGUCCACGCAGUAAACGAUGAUCACUAGCUGUUUGCGAUACACUGUAAGCGGCACAGCGAAAGCGUUAAGUGAUCCACCUGGGGAGUACGCCGGCAACGGUGAAACUCAAAGGAAUUGACGGGGGCCCGCACAAGCGGAGGAACAUGUGGUUUAAUUCGAUGAUACGCGAGGAACCUUACCCGGGUUUGAACGCAUUCGGACCGAGGUGGAAACACCUUUUCUAGCAAUAGCCGUUUGCGAGGUGCUGCAUGGUUGUCGUCAGCUCGUGCCGUGAGGUGUCGGCUUAAGUGCCAUAACGAGCGCAACCCUUGCCACUAGUUACUAACAGGUGAUGCUGAGGACUCUGGUGGGACUGCCAGCGUAAGCUGCGAGGAAGGCGGGGAUGACGUCAAAUCAGCACGGCCCUUACAUCCGGGGCGACACACGUGUUACAAUGGCGUGGACAAAGGGAGGCCACCUGGCGACAGGGAGCGAAUCCCCAAACCACGUCUCAGUUCGGAUCGGAGUCUGCAACCCGACUCCGUGAAGCUGGAUUCGCUAGUAAUCGCGCAUCAGCCAUGGCGCGGUGAAUACGUUCCCGGGCCUUGUACACACCGCCCGUCAAGCCAUGGGAGCCGGGGGUACCUGAAGUCCGUAACCGAAAGGAUCGGCCUAGGGUAAAACUGGUGACUGGGGCUAAGUCGUAACAAGGUAGCCGUACCGGAAGGUGCGGCUGGAACACCUCCUUU